GUUAAAUAAAUGUUGUCUGAUUGUAUUUUGAAGUGAACUUCUCUUUUCCUCGAGACCCCUCUCAGCUGCCUGAGUGCUUUACCAAUAGAGAUAUCUUGAAUACAAGGUUAAGGAACACGGCUGGUGGAGAUAACGCAGGAACAGAUAUUGCUGCAACGCAGAAGAUAAAUUUCAAUUUGCUGUUAGUUUCUGUGUCUCUGCUGGAGAUAUGAAAUUCUUGUCUUGCAGGGCAGGAAUUGAUUGGAAAAUAAAAAUGAAUGUGCAGUCUCGUAUGUCUGUGAUUUUUUUUUUUUUCUGUUGUAUGUUAGUUUCUGAGCUCCAGGUCUUUUGAAACAGUCAUACAUCUCUCUACAAGCAUGUGACACUUGCAUUUUAAGGGGAGAUAAAUGCAAUUCAAGUCUUUCUUAAAAUAACUGCAACCGUAUAAAUGUGACUUUUUUCCUUGGGGGGGUGUUUUAAUGACAUGCACAGAAUUAAUCCUGUACACUCCCCCUCUCUAUUCUUUCCAUUACUAUGUUUGUACAGAAGAAUGAAAGAGUAAACAAAUUUUUGCCGUCCCCACCAGUUGGUAUGCUGAUGAUACAGCCCGAAGAGCCAUUUCUGGGGAAGAAGACUCUAAGCAAUGGCAGGAAGCUGACACGGCCCUUCAUUGUACUAUUCUCUGUCAUUUCCUCCCCGGAUCCUCCGACUGCCCCAAAGGAAGACAAGAUGACACUCACCGCACACGGCGAUGACGCGAAGGAGAGAGACGACGAGAGUGACAGAACCGGAGUCAGCAGCAGUCAAGGUACACGUCUGAUUCACUGUGGGACGACAGAGGUGGCACUGAGCGGUGUGAUGGUUUUUAAUCAGCUGUCAGCUUCACUUACCUCCAGGUGUCGGUGCCGUGUCAGCCUCCCAGACUGCCUCAGGAAAGAGAGAAGGCAUGACCGCCACAACAGAAUAAUUAGGAAAAAUGCACGUUGUGGAUGAUGCGCUACAAAACAUCACAUUACAGGAACACACGGGUGUCAACAUAAAGGCUGCGGGCCGAGUCAGGCCGCUCAGGGGCUUCAGUUUGGUCUGUGGGAUGAACCGAGCAAGAUUUCAAGUUUAAUUUCUCAAUUAAAGCAAAAAAAUCUCACUGGUGGCGCAGCAGGAUUGUUAGAUGGUGGAUAUUCAUUACAGAUCAUCAUCAUCAGAUUCACCACGAAUUCUCGGUUCCAGCAGCAUCGUCUCGUGAAUUCAACGAAAUCAAAAAGAAAAAGAGAUUAAAAGUUAAAUGAUAUUCAAAUAAAACCUGAUAUUGAAGGUGUUUGGUAGUCUGUAUUCCACAGGUCUUAGCUGAGGGUUGUUGAUCUUAUCAACCCUCCUUCGUGUGAAAAAAAGACAUUUCCAUCACCUGCAGUAAACUCUGUGCCACAACACAGAGAAACUUUAAAGUAUAAAUUUAAAGGUUAUUAUGGCACUGUUUUCCCGGUCUGCCCCACUCAAGAUAAAAUUGGGCUGUAUGUGGCCCCUGAACUAAACUGUGUUUGACACCCGUGGCCUAUUAAAGCUUGCGUGUGUCUAUUUUUAAUGCCUUUGAGAAGGAGGUGCACAUCGGCUCAGCCUUCAGUGCAGAUGCUGCUGUUGACACCAUGAGAUCCAUUCACUGGGAUUUCAUUUACAGCUCCGGUUCGAGAUAUUUUCUGUGUGGCGGCUCUUCAGACUCUGACUCGGUGACCUGCCGUCUCCCAUCUGCUGUAAUGUGCAAAAUGAAAAUGCAGUUUCUUCACUUUUUAUGCAGAGUCUCACUGUAGUUCACAUUUGAAGGCAUUGUUGAGAACACAACGUAAAACCUGUACAUUUUUUUUCCCUCUACUUUUAAAGGUUUUGAACUUUUUCUUAGUGCACAAAAAAUAUAGCCUAUGUGUUAUUAUCAUUUGUAGAUAUUCUAUCUAAUUACUAAGCUUAUAUGGUCACGUCUGUGGCCUUAAACUGAAAUUUAUUUGCCGCAACGUUGCAACAUUCCUCAAUAAGACUGAAAUCAACUGACUCCUAUCGUAUUUUUAUUGGAUCAAUAACAGCCAGUGGUUGAAAAUUGUGUUAUCAUGUCAUGUGAGGUGAUUACUAUUAGUGCUCUACUAACUAGAGCAAAGAAAAGAGGGUACAUUUCUUUGAGAUACUCAAAUUAAAGUUAAGUGAAACGUUCCUGGUAUUUUUAAAAUAUUUACAUCCUAAUUUCUGACAUAGAUUAUGCACUAAUUCACUUAUAUGUCCAU